rnacentral:rRNA from 1 species
CCUGCAUGAAGCCGGAAUCGCUAGUAAUCGCGGAUCAGCACGCCGCGGUGAAUACGUUCCCGGGCCUUGUACACACCGCCCGUCACACCACGAGAGUUUGUAACACCCGAAGUCGGUGAGGUAACCUUUUGGAGCCAGCCGCCUAAGGUGGGAUAGAUGAUUGGGGUGAAGUCGUAACAAGGUAGCCGUAUCGGAAGGUGCGGCUGGAUCACCUCCUUUCUAAGGAA